GAUGAACGCUGGCGGCGUGCCUAAUACAUGCAAGUCGAGCGAACGGACGAGAAGCUUGCUUUUCUGAUGUUAGCGGCGGACGGGUGAGUAACACGUGGAUAACCUACCUAUAAGACUGGGAUAACUUCGGGAAACCGGAGCUAAUACCGGAUAAUAUUUUGAACCGCAUGGUUCAAAAGUGAAAGACGGUCUUGCUGUCACUUAUAGAUGGAUCCGCGCUGCAUUAGCUAGUUGGUAAGGUAACGGCUUACCAAGGCAACGAUGCAUAGCCGACCUGAGAGGGUGAUCGGCCACACUGGAACUGAGACACGGUCCAGACUCCUACGGGAGGCAGCAGUAGGGAAUCUUCCGCAAUGGGCGAAAGCCUGACGGGGCAACGCCGCGUGAGUGAUGAAGGUCUUCGGAUCGUAAAACUCUGUUAUUAGGGAAGAACAUAUGUGUAAGUAACUGUGCACAUCUUGACGGUACCUAAUCAGAAAGCCACGGCUAACUACGUGCCAGCAGCCGCGGUAAUACGUAGGUGGCAAGCGUUAUCCGGAAUUAUUGGGCGUAAAGCGCGCGUAGGCGGUUUUUUAAGUCUGAUGUGAAAGCCCACGGCUCAACCGUGGAGGGUCAUUGGAAACUGGAAAACUUGAGUGCAGAAGAGGAAAGUGGAAUUCCAUGUGUAGCGGUGAAAUGCGCAGAGAUAUGGAGGAACACCAGUGGCGAAGGCGACUUUCUGGUCUGUAACUGACGCUGAUGUGCGAAAGCGUGGGGAUCAAACAGGAUUAGAUACCCUGGUAGUCCACGCCGUAAACGAUGAGUGCUAAGUGUUAGGGGGUUUCCGCCCCUUAGUGCUGCAGCUAACGCAUUAAGCACUCCGCCUGGGGAGUACGACCGCAAGGUUGAAACUCAAAGGAAUUGACGGGGACCCGCACAAGCGGUGGAGCAUGUGGUUUAAUUCGAAGCAACGCGAAGAACCUUACCAAAUCUUGACAUCCUUUGACAACUCUAGAGAUAGAGCCUUCCCCUUCGGGGGACAAAGUGACAGGUGGUGCAUGGUUGUCGUCAGCUCGUGUCGUGAGAUGUUGGGUUAAGUCCCGCAACGAGCGCAACCCUUAAGCUUAGUUGCCAUCAUUAAGUUGGGCACUCUAAGUUGACUGCCGGUGACAAACCGGAGGAAGGUGGGGAUGACGUCAAAUCAUCAUGCCCCUUAUGAUUUGGGCUACACACGUGCUACAAUGGACAAUGCAAAGGGCAGCGAAACCGCGAGGUCAAGCAAAUCCCAUAAAGUUGUUCUCAGUUCGGAUUGUAGUCUGCAACUCGACUACAUGAAGCUGGAAUCGCUAGUAAUCGUAGAUCAGCAUGCUACGGUGAAUACGUUCCCGGGUCU
rnacentral:rRNA from 1 species